AUACGUGGGGCGCAAGCGUUGUCCGGAAUUAUUGGGCGUAAAGAGCUCGUAGGCGGUCUGUCACGUCUGCUGUGAAAACCCGAGGCUCAACCUCGGGCUUGCAGUGGGUACGGGCAGACUAGAGUGCGGUAGGGGAGACUGGAAUUCCUGGUGUAGCGGUAAAAUGCACAGAUAUCAGGAGGAACACCGAUGGCGAAGGCAGGUCUCUGGGCCGCAACUGACGCUGAGGAGCGAAAGCGUGGGUAGCAAACAGGAUUAGAUACCCUGGUAGUCCACGCCGUAAACGUUGGGCACUAGGUGUGGGGCUCAUUCCACGAGUUCCGCGCCGUAGCUAACGCAUUAAGUGCCCCGCCUGGGGAGUACGGCCGCAAGGCUAAA
rnacentral:rRNA from 1 species